rnacentral:lncRNA from 1 species
UUCAUGCUGCCAAUUUAAGCUUCUUAAAAGCUAAAUGUUUUGGCAGAACAAAUUGAAAAAGAAAAAAAAACCUAGAGGUUUGCUCCUAUUCGGUUGCCACUCAACCUUCCUUCCAACACCACGAUGCCUUUAGAUCCCCUUUCGGCUUCGAUUUCAACGAAGCGAACAGAGAUCCAUGGCCGAUUCGCAAGGUAAGGCUUUUUUUUCGCCUCAUUUGUUUUAAAAUGAAAAUGAUGAAAAAAACCAAUGGAAAAUAGAUAAAAAUGACAGAAAGAUUAAAAAGACUAAGAAAGAUCACCUCUUCAGAAAUUUUUUUUGAAUUUUUCUAUUCAUUUUUUGUAUAAUGUAUGUGUGUAUGCGUUUUUGUGUGCGUAAAAAUAUACAAUGACAGUGUUCUUGGCUUUAUAGCCGAAACCGAUUAAAAAAUUAAAAAAGAAAAUACAAAUCGAUUGGUUCUGCCUCUUUGUUGUACUGUUGUUUGUCUGUUUCUUAGCAGGUACGAAGGCCCGUUGGCUCGGUGGUACGUGGCGCUUGACGUGGGGCGUACGGGGGCUGUGUACUGGGGGCUGCUGAAGCACUGGAGGUUGUACGGCGCUGGAAGCUAAGGGCUGCGGCGCUAAGGAAACCCUAGGUUUCUGUUUGGCUGAACCUAGGUCUAGGUUUUGGACCAUUGGGCCUUUUACAUUGGGUUAUUUGAUUGGGCUAGGUUGUUUUGUAAAUGGGCUUGUAACUGGGCUAUUGGGUCUGAUAUGUAAUAGACUGAUAAUUGGACUUUUUAUUAUUUGGUUUUGUUUAUUUAUUUAUUAUUUUAGCUUUGAUGUGGACCCGGGCAAAUUGGCCCGUUUACAGCUGCCACUCUUUGCUCAUUUUCGUGUAACGAGAAUAGAGCAAAGACUUCAAAGAGGGCCAAUUUUUCCUGGUCUCGCAAAAUCAUGACUUCUUUGGUGUUUUUUUUCUUCGAGGUAGCCUUGUUCUGAUCCUCUACAACUUCAGGGAUAUAGGAAUUGUUGCUCCAAUCUGUUCCGCUGUAACUCUAGAGGGACUAGCCUUGUAGCUUUUAAUCUGUUCUACCGCUAUUGCUCCACUGCAACCUCAGAGAGAUAUGGUUCGCGUAUUUUUAUCCUGCUCUACUGCAACUUCAGAGAGAUAAGGAUUGUAACUUCGAUCUGCUCCACUGUAACUUCAGGGAGAUAAGAUAUGCUAACUUUAGUCUACUCCACUGCAACUGUUCUACUGCAACUUCAGGGAGAUAAGACUUGUAAUUUUCAGCCUGUUACCCUACUGCUUAGGGGGUUAAGGCUCACCGUCUUUGAUUUGCUCCACUACUGCUUAGAGAGGCAAGAUCUAUAAUCUUCGACCUGUUACCCUACUACUUAGGGGGUUAAGGCUCACUGUCUUCGAUUUGUUCAACUAUUGCUUAGGGAGACAAAAUUUACAAUCUUCGGCCUGUUACCCUACUACUUAGGGGGUUAAGGCUCACUGCCUUCGAUUUGCUCCACUACUGCUUAGGGAGACAAGAUCUACAAUCUUCGGCCUGUUACCCUACUACUUAGGGGGUUAAGGCUCACUGCCUUCGAUCCGCUCCACUACUGCUUAGGAAGAUAAGAUCUGGGAAUUCACCGAUGUUGCUACACCAUCCUCUAGGGAUAUGAUCUGUAAAACUAGUUUCAUGUAUCUAUGCUUAUGUCAAAUACUUAGGAUGCUAUGAUCAUAAUGUUUCAAAUGCUCCUACUAGAUGAAUGAUUAUGAAUGCAGAAAUGUCAUGAGAAUGAUUCUUUUUUAAAUACUUAAGGUGUCAUUGCUCAUAGUUCAUCAGGGUUCUAUCAUUGAUGAGCUAUCAUGUCUUCUUGUUUAGCUGGUAUCUUUGACAGAAAAUUUGAAGAAAUAGUCACAAUUUGGACUAUUCUUUUUCUAAUGUUUCCAACUUUUGAACCUGGUUAGUCCUGAAUAGUGGCCCUAUUUCAGGUCCUCGUACUAUUUAGAGACCUUCCAGAGUAAUAUGCAUCACUUCUUUUGUGUGAAUAUUAUAAGUCCAAAAAUUGUGAUUUCAAUAAAUUUGCUCGAAAGAGACUAUUAUAAUGAACAAGAUGGAAUUUUAUUGAGCAAAACUCAAAGUGAAUAAAUUAAAAAAGAUAGCAGAUCUGCUAAGGUACAAAAUAAAAUGAGAAAAAGGUACCCCAGAUAUCGCAGCACGAGCUUCUCUAUUCUAACUUCUCAAAGGCUAUUUCGAGCUGAACAUGUGUUUAGGAGAUCUCGCGUAUUUUUUUUAUGCUCCAAGAUAUACUAUUCUUCCCUAUUGUUAAUUUGGGAGGACAAGACAACCACAUGUCCCAUAUUCAAAAUUUGAGCUGCCUGUUUUUGGGUUUUCAACUCAGAAACCCCUUUGGUCGCAAAACGCCCUUUACGGGUUUUCACAUUGGCCUCUCCAUCUCUCUUUUUUUUUUGGGUCUCAAGUGCCCUUUGCAAGUUUUCGCUUUGGCCUCUCUCUCUUUACGUAAAAUAAUUCUCGACGGAAUCCGAAUUUACAAGAUUGGGUAAAUUUUUACCAUCCAUCUCGGCUAGGAUCAAUGUUCCUCCAAAAAAAGCUUUCUUUACCACGAAAGGUCCUUCCCAGUUUGGCAUCCAUUUCCCUCUGAAAUCUUUUUGUAUGGGAAGGAUCUUUUUCAGGACUAGGUCUCCCUCAUGGAAUUCUCUAGGGCGAACCUUUUUAUCAUAGGCUCGCAUCAUUCGUUUUUGGUACAUCUGACCAUGACGAAUAGCUCUUAUCCUCUUUCCUUCAAUCAAGCUCAAUUGAUCGUAUCGAAACUGGAUCCACUCUGCUUCAUCUAAAUUUAACUCCGAUAACACUCGAAGGGAUGAGAUCUCGACUUCAAUUGGCAAAACUACUUCCAUUCUGUAGACCAAAGAGAAAGGCGUUGCCCCAAUAGAGGUUCUGACUGAUGUUCGAUAAGCAAAGAGGCAAAUGGUAACUUCUCAUGCCAAUCUUUGUAGGUCUCAGUCAUCUUCCCCAUAAUCUUCUUAAUGUUUUUAUUGGCCGCUUCCACUGCCCCAUUCAUUUUCGAGCGAUAUGGUGACGAGUUGUGGUGUCUGAUCUUGAAUUGACUGUAGACUUCCACUAUCAUACUAUUUUUCAAGUUUAAUACAUUGUCAGAUAUGAUCUUCUCCGACAUUCUAUAUCGACAUAUGAUCUCUUUUUUUAGGAAUUUGCUCACCGCUGACUUUGUAAAAUUGGCAUAUGAAGCGGCUUCUACCCAUUUGGUAAAGUAGUCGAUAACUACAAAGAUGAACCGAUGCCAAUUAGAAGCUUUCGUUAAUAUUGGUCCAAUCACAUCCAUCCCCUACAUAGAGAAAGGUCAUGGGGAAGUCAUGACAUGUAGCAGUAAAGUAGGCACAUGAAUUUUGUCUCCAUAGAUUUGGCAUUUAUGACAUCUCUUAGCGUAAUUGACACAGUCUCCUUCCAUAGUGGUCCAGUAAUACCCGAAUAUCAUAAUUUGUCUGGCCAUUGUAAAGCCAUUAGCGUGUGUCCCACAGAUGCCCUCAUAGACUUCUUCUAGGAUUUUCUUAGCCUCUACAGCGUCUACACUUCUUAAUAGCACUUGAUCUUUUCUUCUUCCGUAUAGGAUCUCCCCAUCUAAGACAUAGCCAAUGGCCAAUCUUCUCAGCGUCCUUUUGUCAUUAUCACUUGCCUGGUCUGGGUACUUACGAUUCCUCACGUAUUGCGAUAUAUCGUGAUACCAAGGGUGAUCAUCUUUUUCUUCAUCUUCUUCAAUAUUGUAACAGUGAGCCGGAGUUUCAUAAAUGCUCAUCUGGAUGAGUUUGACAUCUUCUUAUUUGUUUACCUUGAUCAUGGAAGCUAAGGUGGCCAAAGCAUCGGCCAUCUGAUUUUCGUCUCGUAGAAGGUAGCAGAAGGUAAUGUCAUCGAACUCUUUAACCAAUUCAAGGACCAGUUUUCGAUAAUCGAUCAACUUAGGAUCUCUGGUCUCCCAUUCUCCCUUGAGUUGAUAAAUCACUAGCGCAGAAUCUCCAUACACCUCUAGCAUUUUAAUCUUGCGUUCUAUGGUUGCACGGAUACCCAUGAUGCACGUUUCGUAUUCUGCCAUGUUAUUCAUACAAUCAAAAUCCAAUUUACUAGUAAAUGGAUAAUGAUCUCCGUUUGGGGAUACCAAGACUGCCCCGAUUUCAUUACCCACAGCAUUUGAUACCUCAUCGAAGUUUAGUUUCCAGGAAAGUUCUUCUAGAGCUCCUUCUUCAGUGGUCGUAACACACAUCAGGUCUUCAUUCGAGAAAUCGAAGUUCAAAGGCUCGUAAUCUUCCAAAGCUCUAAUGGCUAAAAAAUCUGCUAUUGCACUCCCUUUUACUGCUUUCUGAUUUACAUAGACUAUAUCAAAUUCAAAGAGUAGAAUUUACCAUCGGGCCAUCCUGACUCAUUAUGCUGACCAAGUACGCAUCCCAUGGAAUUCUCAAAUACUGCCAAAUACAGUAUCAAUGGCUUAUCGGGGUUAGGUGGCAUCAGCACCGGAACGUUGGAUAAGUACCGUUUGACCUUGUCGAAAGCCCUUUGGCAUUCUUCAUCCCAUACACCUGGGUUGUGUUUCUUAAGGAGGCAAAAAAUAGGGUCACAUUUCUCGGUUAGUUGUGAAAUGAACCGAGCGAUGUAAUUUAAUUUUCCUAGAAAGUCUCGAACCUCUUUCUCGGUAUAUAGCGGAGAUAGCUCUUGUAUGGCUUUGACUUUGUCUGGAUCGAUCUCAAUCCUUUUCUCACUAACCACGAAUCCGAGAAGCUUUCCAAACCUAGCUCCGAAGGUACAUUUGGCUGGAUUGAGUUUUAACUGAAACUUCCUCAACCUUAAGAACAACCUCCUCAGGACUUGUACGUGCUCCUUCUCUGUUCGGGACUUUACGAUCAUAUCAUCGACAUAAACUUCGAUUUUUUGUGCAUCAUGUCGUGAAACAAGGUUACCAUGGCUCUUUGAUAUGUUGCCCCCACAUUUUUCAGUCCAAACGGCAUCACCUAGUAGCAGAACGUCCCCCACAUGGUUACAAAUGUGGUCUUCUCCAUGUCUUCAGGAUUCAUCUUGAUCUGAUUAUAUCUGGAGAAACCGUCCAUGAAGGAAAAUAGUGAGUGUCCUACCGUGUUGUCCACUAGGGUGUCAAUAUGAGGCAAUGGAAAAUUAUCUUUCAGGCUGGCUUUAUUCAAAUCUCUGUAGUCUACACACAUUCGUACUUUUCCAUCCUUCUUAGGGACGGGGACGAUGUUGGCUACCCAUUCUGAGUAUUUUACGACCUUUAAAAAUCCAGCGUCAAACUGCUUUCUAACCUCUUCUUUUAUUUUUAGCAAGACGUCGAGCCUCAUUCUUUGGAGUUUUUACUGAACUGACUUACAUUCUUCUUUCAUAGAGAGUCGGUGCACCACGAUAUCAGUGUUCAACCCAGGCAUAUCUUGAUAUGACCAUGCAAAGACAUCUUUGAAUUCUUGAAGUAAUUUGAUAAGGUCUCGUUUCAUCUCCAUAGUGAUACAUGUUCCGAUCUUCACCUCUUGUCCCUCUCCUAAGCUCACAAUUUCCACUGAUUCUUUGUGAGGUAGGAUUUGUUUCUCGUCUUGUUCUACCAUCCUCAACAAAUCAGGAGAUAAGUUAUAACUUUGGUUAUCUUCGAAAUCUUGAGAAUUUUUCAUACACAUAUCUCGCUCAAAAGGAGACUCUGAGCCACUAGCAGUGUCACUCAUAUCAUUGAUAUCUGGGGACCUGUUAUGAGGAUGAAGGAAGAUACAAAGAACCAAAAGAAUUUAAGAAUACUUAUCUGUAUGGUAUGAUUAUGAAUGAAGAACGAAAGAAUAUUUAAAAGAAUGUCCGAAGGACCAAAGAAUCCAAAAGUAAUCAUUUGAAUAAUAUAAUUAUGAAUGAAAUGAAAAGAAUGAAAGAAUAUCUGCUCAAAAUGAUAAUAACUGUGCAUUUUAUUGAAAUAACGUUUUUGAACAUAAGCCUAUUUCACAAAAGAUUCUUAUUACUUCUAGGCCUAGAGCAAUAAGUGUGUUUUAGACAUUAUCUGAGUCAGCUCUAAAAGCUAAAGGAAUCUCUUUCGCAGUCCAGUUAUCCAAAACACUUCCAGGUAUUUAGGGGCAAAUGCCCAAAAAAUUUUCUCCUCCAGCCCCUUCUUCAUAUGUGGCGUUGAUUUCCAACUUUUCUUCUAUGGUUUCCUUUCUUGGCGUGCCCCGCUCGGGAUGAAUGAUUCCUCCGGACACAAAAGUUUUCGAUAUAUGGGGGAGUAUCAUUGGCUCCCAUUUGAUUUCCUCCCCCUUCAACUGUGCUCUCCUUUUUUCCUGCUUCUUUUCCAGCUCUUUUUUCCUUUGUCUUGCAUCUGGCUUAAAUCCUAAGCCGAAGCGGUCUCUCUUGUCCUUCAAUAUUGACGUUUCAACCCUUCUUUAGAGAUGUCUCCCGAGUCCUCUUCCCGAUAGAGCUCAUUUUCCAACCAUCAACUAUAGACUCAUCCGUGUAGUUUUAGAUAAUUUCGGCUUCAGAAUCUUGCUUCUCUCAGUAAUGAAUGUCAUAUUAACAAAUUCCAAAGACCGAAAUGAACAUUCGAUUGCUUUGUCAUCUGUCUCCAAAUAGGGUGCAUCAUUACUUAUAGCUGCAAUGAUAUCCUCUUCAGCAUUUAUCGUUAUCAAUCGCCCCUCCGAUACUAACUUCAACUUCUGAUGCAACGAUGAGGGCACUGCCCCAGCUGAAUGUAUCCAGGGCCUCCCCAAUAAACAGUUGUAUGAAGGCUUGAUAUCUAUCACCAGGAAAUCCACCUCAUAUGUGUUUGGCCCGAUCAGAAAAGGUACCUCAAUUCUGCCCAUCACCCUUCUCUCUGUGCUAUCGAAUACUUUCACUAUGUUCUGGCACUCUUUCAUGUGAGAGCUGUCUACAGGUAAUAUGUUUAGUGUGGACAAUGAUAGGACAUUCAAGGCUGACCCGUUGUCAAUCAGUACUCCUGGUAGCGCAUACCCUUUACAACGUAUGGUGAUGUGUAAAGCUUUAGUCGACCCCAUGCCACAGGGUGGUAUCUCAUCGUCAUUGAAAAAGAUAAAGUUAUCGGCACUUAUGUUGCUAACCAAGCAGUCUAGCUUGUUGACGGAGAUAUUAUUAGCAACGUAUGUUUCAUUUAAAACUUUUAUCAGCGCGCUGCGAUAGACUUCCGAACUUAGGAGUAAGGCUAGCACCGAGAUACGAGCUGGUUGUUUACGCAGUUGUUCCAUAACACUGUAUUCACUGUGCUUUAGAAAUUUUAAAAACUCCUUAGCCUCAUCUUCGUUUACUGGCUCAUUAACAAGAAGUUCAGAUUUGGCCAAUCUUUCCUUCUUCUGUUCAGCCACUAUGGCUUUUCCUUUUGAGGGUUCUGCUUUCUUGCUUGCUGAAUCGUAGCAUAUUCCGCUACGAGUAUAGGAGCCCAUAUAUUGGUCUUCUUUUAAAGCAUCAGCCAGGUUCUCUUUUCUUGGGAUCGUUACGUUACAGUCGUAAUUCUAUUGGACCCUCUUACUGUCUUGAUAGGGGAAGACUGCAGGUCUUUGGAUUAUGACUCUCGGUGGCAUUUGCACUCCCGCUUCAUUAUUUUUGCGUCAUAAUAUGAUGACCACGGGGUAGUUAAUUGUUUGGUUCUGCACCGUCAAUUUUCUCUCUAACGCACAUAUAUCUCCCUUUCCGGGGUUUUUGGUUUCUUCAUAAAACUCUAUUUUUCUAUUAUUUAUCAUGUCCUGCACUAGAGCUCUAAACUCCAUACACUCUUGAAUUUCAUGCCCCACCUCGUUGUGGAACUCACAGUAGUUCCUCUCUUCUUCAGGUUCUUCUCUCGAAUCCUACACAAUCAAUCCUCUCUUAACCAUCUCCUUCCACACUCGUCUCAAUGGGGUUCUGACUUCUGUAACCCCAUAUUUGAUCUUUUUACUUCCGCCUUUGUUUAUCCCGUUUACUCAUUGGUCGGUAUGAUUGGGGAGCGGGUUCCUGCUACAUUGGGUACUGUUGGGUCGUCAAACCUUACAAUACCUAUUUUAAUAAAUCUUUCAACUAGCUUCUUGAACGCAGUGCAGUUUUCGAUCGAAUGCCCAGUGAUUCCUGCAUGGUAUUCGCAUUGGGCGUUUGUUUCAUACCAUUUGAGAAACGGGGGCUGCAGUGGCUUCAGGUAGAAAGGGGACACUACAUGAGCGUUGAAUAGGUUCUGGUACAGCUCCCUAUACGUCAUGGGUAUAGGCGUGAACUGUAGUCUUUCUGUGUUCGCUGUCGCGCUGGAUUCUUGUCUCACAGUGCUAUGUUGAUUGGCAGUCACCAUCUUUGGUUGGUUUAUAGUGAGUAACUUAGACUGACCCUUACUAAAUGUGAUUGUGUUGUUCACUUCGUUAUCUCUUUUCCUCGAGGCCAAUCUUUUGGUACUUUCCCCUAUUUCUAUUUUGCCGCUCCUCACAGUAUUUUCAAUCAUUUCACCUAUCAUCACUAUGUCUGAGAAGCUUUUGGUGGUACUCCCCAACAUAUGAGUGAUAAAAGAAGCCUUCAAAGUGUUGAUAAAGAUAAUCGUAGUUUCUUAUUCUAAAACGGCGGCUGAACUUGUAUAGCAACUUUUCUCCAUCUUUGCGCAUACUGUCUGAAACUUUCAUUCAGUUUCUUCUCCAUAUUUUGGAAAGUAAUCCUGUCAGGAGUCAUAUCUGUCACAUGACUAUACUGUUUCAUAAAGGCUUAAGUUAGGACUUUCCAUGAGUUAAUCUUAGCACGGCUCAAUUGGUUAUACCAUUUGGAUGCCGCCCCAACCAGACUAUCCUGGAAAUAGUGAAUCAAUAACUGGUCAUUGUUGACGUAUCCAGUCAUUCGCCUGCAAAACAUAGUAAUAUGAGCUUCAGGGCAGCUCGUUCAUUGUACUUCUCAAAUAUAGGCAUUUUGAACUUAGGGGGAAGGACUAAAUCUGGGACCAAACUUAGGUCUUUAGCGUCAAUUCCGUGACGACUAUGAGCACCUUCUAUCGCCCUGAAUUUUUCCUCCAGCUAUUUACACCGUUCCUCUAAUUAAUUCUAUGAUUCCAUCUUUGCCUUUUCUUCUUCUGUAACUUUAUCCAAAUCGAGAACAAGCGGAUAAUUCGGGUUAUUAACAGGGUUAGAGCCUGAGUUGGCUCGAAAAUUUAUCGGUAUCGAAGCUCCAGCCUGAAUCUGCUGAGGCCUAAUUGUAACAGAUGGUCUUUUUAGAUUAAUCUCAGGUUGUAUCGGUACAUGUGUCGGAGUGAAGCCAAGAGGAUAUUGAGGGUCUUCAUUAUUUUCCCCAACAUUGUCCAUGGAACCCUUUCCUUUACCCAUUCUUCCUAUCAGCAGUUGGGACAACUAACUCAUCAUCUCUCUUUGGGAUUCUAUAAUUUGCUCUUUCAUCUCUUGCUGAAUCUUGGCUAGCUGCUCUUGCAUCUGUGACUGCAUUUGUUCCUGCAUGUCCUUUUGCAUUUACUCCAAUUUCUCAAGUCUUUUGUCUAUUGACUUGGUAUUUUUCCUUGUACCGUAGGGGUGUGUAGUUGGUUGGUUUUCGUUGGUUUUCAGAUUACUGAAAUAAUUUUUAAUUAAUUAAUUAGAAUCUUUUUAUGACCUUAAAUGCAUAUGAUGUAAUGCAAUGCAAAUGCAUGAAUGCAAAAGAGGCAUCAAUUUUGAUUCAAUUCCUUUUAGAAAACUUCACUAGAAAAUAAAAUUCUUUACAUAAAACUGAGUUACAAAUAAAACUUCACCCUAAUACUCAGAGCCUUAAUUUUCCUAAGCAACGAGGCUAGCUCCUGCCCCCGAUCUAACUCUAACUCGUACUUCACGCUCAAUGUGUCCGCUUGCACCGCUAAAACUUCCAAGUAAUCGGCUACCUCCCGAAUCUGGGUUAUGGCUUCCGCCAUAAUGUAAUCCCUGUUUCUGACUUAGUCUUGCGCAUGGUGAAGUUGUUCCUUCCAACGUUCCUCACUUGCUUCAAAAAAUUGAAUCCGCAUCUCACAGCUUUGUAGUGACGCUUCUAAUUCUUCUACUUUUCCUUUCAUUUCUUCUACCUUGCUCAAGCUUGCCCUCAACUCUAUUACGGUAUUACGGCUUAAUUCACCUUGUUCAUUUCUGCUUUCUGACAGACUCUUCUCUAAAUCCCUAUUUCGUGCCUGAGCCUUUCGAAAUUUCCUUUCUCAUCGGUCGACUUUGGUCUGUUCCUCUCAGAUUUCAUGGCACCAUUGCUCUGAAGUUUUACCUAAUCUAGUAGUCCUCAUAGACAGGCAUAACUUCUUAUAAUCCGUCUUCAAACUGUCUAGAUCCUCUUUGGCCUUACAUUUCCUUCUUCUCCACUUUUCAGCCUCUAACCUCUGAAUGUCUACGUCUAAUCUCAGAUGCUUCUUUUCUUCCUCCAACUGUUCAAUCUUCUUCCCAAGCUCAAAACUCUUCUUCUCAAAAUCCUGUUUUAUAAUUUCCAACUCUGACGGGGCAACUUGUAAUUGUUCCUCCACAAGUCGAGAAUCUUCUACACUUGGUCUAGGAAUGUUUUCAUUGACCCUUUUUCUAAACCAUCCGUUGUAUUCAGGUGUCACCAUGGAAUUGACAGCCAACCUCUUCAUCCAUCGAGUUUGCUUCCAAGCAUCAGACAGUUCUCGAACCUUCUUCUUAUAGUGGUCACCUUUAAAGGAGAAUUCACACUGAGCAAGCCCGUAAGUCAUGGGUACAAACUGCCUCAAUUUAUAUUGCCUUAAUGCAAACAAUGGAGUAUACCCAGUAGCUUUCCAAAUUCCUAACAACGGUACCCAAUCAAAGUCCCCACAUCAAUACAGGAUUUCAUCAGGAACCAUCCAAUAAGCUCUCCACUCUAUGUCCCCCUCCUUGAGGUUUUGGAGGAUUUCCAUCCACUUCUCCUCUGAGAUACCUUCUCUUCUUUGUAUGACUGCCUCCUCCUAUAACGUGGAAUAACCUUCAGAAAAGACCUGAUAAAAAAUCUUGUCUACUUUCCAAAAAUGCCCAUGAAAUUACACCAUCAACAGCUGUGCACACCCAAUAAACCGUCCAUCGCCUGUCUUCCGACACAUCCUCAAGGAUUUGAACGUCUCAGCCAAUAUUGCAAGCACAGGUGUGAUUUCCUUCUCAAGACAGUCGAAUAAAUUAGUGACUGCCUCAUCGACGUGCCUUAAAGCCUUAGGAAAAAUUACCAAUCCAUAAAUGCUUAAGGCGAAGAUAUCGACCCUCUUUCUUUCAUCCGGAUGCGUUAAAACCAAAUCUCUCAAAUUCUCCCAAGAGAUACAUUUAUUAUCUCCCUUUUGUUGAAUCCGAGCAAUGACCCAAGGCUCGCUCAUCCCUGAAAUAUUCAUCAAUUUCUUCGCAAAAAUUUGACCAUUAAAAACCUUGGCAUAAGCUUUUCUAACUUGAAUUUUUGGACACCUGAGUAGGGUAGUAUAUUCCUCCAUGGUAGGCACUAAAUCCACUUCCCCAAAUGUGAAACACUUGUAAGCAGAAUUCCAAAAUUGAACCAUAACUCAGAACAGGUAUUUGUCCACCUUAACAUCCAGCAAAUAGGAUAUAUCACCAUAGCUUUGAUAGAACAAUUGUUUGGUUCUUUCAUCCCAAUGAGCCCAUAUAUCUCUUAACUCUUGCAACUCAUUCUGUGUUACAUUGACGCGAGUGAAUUCCUGCAACUCUGAUGUAUAUCCUUCUGCCAGGCUAUCUCCUUUCUCCGAUUGUAACUUCUCUGACCAUGCGCGGACGGCUGCAUUAUCCUCAACUUUAUUAAGAAAUUCAUUCUUCAUGUCAAACUUUCUAACUUAGUAAUCGAAUACGAAUCAAAACUGUAGUCAACCAAUUUUGCCCGAGUCUUUAUUUUAUUUAUACAUUCAAUAGCUAGUCAAAUAAACUUAAAUAAAGUCCCAAUAGUCCAUUUAUAACCUUAAAUAAACACUAACAAAUAGCCCAAACAUAUACAGAGGCCCAAAGGCCAAUAAGCCCAAUUUGCAAAAAGGCCCAAACUUGAAAGAACCCCAAAAGGGGAAUCUCAGCAGCUGAAAGCACUAGGGGUUUCUAGAACACACCAGUGCUGCAAUCACGGCUUUCACGAGCAAUUUUUUCCGUACGGCCGUUGCUCCAUCCCUGCAUUAGAAUACACGAGAAAAGGAUAGAAACAGAAUACGGUAGAUGACAACAAUAAAAUGUAUUUUUAUUUUAUUUUUAUUCUGAAAUUUUAGCUAUAAAAGCCGAUGAUUGUACCUACAAAAGGGAUUACGCUCAAUACACGCAUGCACAUUAGAUAUUCAAAAAUCUAGCCAAAAAUUUGAAAGGUGAAUUCCGGAUUUAUUCUUUAUUUUCUUUGAUUGAUUCGCAUAUUUAGUACGAGUAUUAAAAGGGGGAAAUCUAGACCGACGCCGAUGAAAAGCCCCAAACAUCUCAGAUAUACAUAGAUGUGGGCGAGGGUCGAGUGAGAUUAAAGUUUUGUUUGAAUAUAUGUGAAAUUUAUUUCGUUUUUAAAAAAAAAAACAGUAUAAGAUUCACGUUUUUUCGUGGGAAAAAAAAAAGAAAAAGGAGCGAAGUUACCUGAUUUUUGGAAAGGUGACCUUCGUUGGCUAUAUCUGGCCCUUAUCCGCGCCACUGGCCAUCAAACUGAUGGAGGUUAAGGGCUGCGUGAUGAAAUGAACCCACACAGAGCAAGAGUUCUAUUUUUGCGUCUGCUUUGAAAAGGAAUGAAUGAAAAUGGGCAUUUAAACAUCCAAAGCAAAACGGCGCCACACAGGGGGGGAAGGGUCCGCACGUUAACCCGCCUGGAGCCUCGAAUUUGUGCCUUUGCGCCUGGAAUGGAAUAUUUGUGUGGCAGGUCCCUCCUCCUUGUACCGCGUUGUAAUCUGCUCCUAUUUGCAUUUGAUUUGCUUUAUUUUCUUUUAGAUUAUCCCUAAAAUUUGAAGUACUUUUAUGUUUUAGUCCAUAUCUCAACGCAAUGUUUCAGGAUUAGGGAUUAUUUCAAUUUUGAUCCCUGUGAAUUCAUGUGUGUUAUAUAUAUGUCUCCAUUAGUAGUUUUACUUAUUUUGUAAAUUUUCUUUUUAUUUUACUUUGAUUUCGAUUAAGUAUUUUAUUAUAUUUAUGUUAUAAAUUUGGGUUUAUUCACUCAUAUAUUUUUAGUCCUUUUAUUAAUGUAUGUGUAUUCAUCCUUAUUUUAUUUACAUUUUUAUUUGUUAUUGUUUAUAUUAUUUGUAAUGUUAAUAUUAAUGGUAUUAUUUGUAUUGUUGGUCACUUAUUUGUUGUAAUUUGAAUAAUUGAAUUUCCCCAUGUUGUAUACUAUUUUAUGUAGUGUUUUAUGCGUUAUUAUGCAUGUAUAUACCUCAUAAUAAUUGCUUUUUAUUCCAUGAACAUUAUUAACAUUAAAAUUAACUAUUUUUUUUCACAUAUUAAUGUUAUUUAUAUUUGUUUUUUUUUUAAAUGAAAUCGCAUGUUAUAUACAUUAACUAAAUUUUAACUAUACAUAUACAAAAAUUAUUGAUUUAUAUAUAUAAUUUAAAUACAUUUUUAAACAUUAGUAUUUUUAUUUCUUUUAGAUUUGUUCACAUAUCUUUCUUAUUUAAAAAGAAAAUCCCACAUAUUUUGUGUAUUAUUUAAGUUAUUAUUAAACAUAUAUUUAGAAUUUAUAUUUAAUUUGUAUUCAUUAUUAAAGCCAAGAUAUUCUUAUACAUAUAUAUUUUUUUAAAUAAACUCAUAUAAUUGUGUUUUUAAAAUUAUUACGUAUAUAAGUUAUGUUUAAUUCUAUAAUUCAUAUUUUAAUUAAAUGAUAUUUUGAGAUAUAAUUAUUUUUAACAUUUUUUCACAUGUAUAUGGCAUAUAUUAAAUUAUUUUUACUAUGGUACAUGUUAUUAUUUUCAUAUAACUUUAUGUAAAUAUUUUUUUAUGUAUAUAUAUCCUCUUUAAAAAUUAUUUAUGUGUAUAAUGUUUUUUAAGAACCCCUUUAAAUCGUAUAAUUUAUUGUAUUUCAUAUUAUCCUUAUGUUUUUUCAUAUAUAUAUUUUGUUACUUAUAUAACUUAUAUAUUUACUUCAUUUUUUUAUACAUUAUUAAUUCCAUUCUUUUUAUCAAUAAUUAUACCCAAUGUUUAUUUGUAUAUAAAAGUUUCAUAAAUCUAUUUUGUACAUUAUUUUAUAUUAUGAAUUGUUAUUCCUUCAUAUUUAAUACAUUUUUUAAGUUAUCUUGUGAAUUAUCAAUUUUUGAAUAAAUUUGUGUUUUAAAUAUUUUGUAUAUAAUUUGAUUUGAAUUUUGAGAUUUAUAAUAACUAUUUCAAUAAACAUAUAUCCCAAGUUUUACGCAAAUGUGUCAACUUAUAUAUAUUAUAUGAUCAUUAAUUCUUCAUUUUGUUUCAUACAUAUUUUUAUACAUCAUUUUAUUUUGUGUUAUGAUCAUGUAUAUUAUUUUUAUAUUAAUUGUUCAUUAUCCAUGCUUAAAGAACUUUUUUACAUUAUACCUGGAAUAAUUGUUAGAUGUAUUGAGCAAGGUUUAUUGUAUUUUGGGUGUAUUAUUUCAUAUUUAUUAUUUUUUACAAUGCAUUAAAUACUUCAUCAAUUUUAAAAUGAAUAAACAUGUUUUUAAGCAAAUUUCUAAAUUUCAGUUAUUUUAAAUUUCUGAAAUAAGGCAAUAUCUAAUAUUUGGGGAAUUAAGAAAAAUCGUGCUCAAUCGUACUGGGUAUGACUUUUCCGGUGAACCAAAUAUUUAGAUAACCUUUUAUACUUUUAAUGUAUGAGUUUUUUUUCAAAAUUCGAACAUCGAUCGUAUCUUAAAGGUAUAAGGGAUCGUAUCCAAUCGUACUGGGUAUGAAACCGCAUAUCUUUAGAACGAGAGAUUUUUAACAGCUAAUUUGAGCUAUUCAAACAUUUUUUUUAUAUACUUCAUAAAAUAUUUUUUUAAAAACUUUUGAUAGAAGGACAGCAUCAAAUCAAUUUGGUACCAGUUUUUGGGCGUAAUGAGGGUGCUAACCCUUCCUCAUGCGUAACCGACUCCCGAACCCGUUUUUCUUUAUUUUGCCUAAAUCAAAUUUAUUUUUUAUUGAAUAAAAUGUUUUAGUAGGAGAUCCAAUCACACCUAAAGAGAUUGGUGGCGACUCUACACUCGGUUUUUAAUGUCGAUCCCUAUUGUUUUCCAAAUAAAAAAAAGGGUUUCGACAAACACCUCUUUUAGUAUGCAAUGCUAUGCAAAACAUAAUCAAAACAAAACACAAGUUUGUAUCAAAUAUAAGUGAUAAAAUACAAGCACAACAAAGAUAAUUAUAACACACAUAUGGGAAAAUACUAAGGCUCGAUGCGGUUUUACCCAAGGAUAGCUCUUAAGGUUCACUAUAUGUGGUUCGGUUCUAGAGAUAAAGUACCUGAACCAGCAGAUUCCUCAAUCCUCACCCAUUAUAGGCUCAUAUGGAUCAAGUUCGAUCCAGGGGAAUACAUUUUCCUAUGACCACGCGGAGAUGAAAAUCUCAAGAAAUCAUAGGUACAGAUGUAUCCCGGAAGCAAUCCACUAGCCCAUGCGGAGGUGAAAACCUCACGAAAGCAUAGUUUCUUACUCCCGAUUAGAAAGUGUGACCACAGCGAUCAUGCAAUGCAAUGUAAUAUUAUUCUACAAGACCCGAACCAUGAAAAUCAUACAAACAAAUGCAAUCAUGAUUUUCAAAACAAAUUUUCAAUUUCUUUGACAAAAUGACAACGAAUAAUCAAUUUUAUGGCUUGACUCUCUUGUAUCGAUCCCCAGUGGAGUCGCCAAGCUGUCGAAACUAUUUUUUUUAUUUAAAAAAACGGGGAUUGACUUUUUGAAAACAAACUGUGGAGUCGCCACCAAUAUUUUAUUUAGGUGUGAUCGGGUCACCUAAUAAAACACUUUGUUUUGUUAAAAUUGAUUUUGGCCUCCGUAAAUUUGAGAAAAAGGGUUCGGGAGUCGGUUACGUAUGAGGAAGGAUUAGCACCCUCACUACGCCCAAAAUUGGUACCAAAUUGAUUAAGUAUUGUCCUUAUGUCUAAGAUUUAAAACUAUUUUUGAAAUAUGGUUCCUUUUAAAACAUAUGAAUGGCUUAAGUUGGUCGUCAAAAUUCUCUUGUUUCGAAUGUAUACAGCAUCAUAUCCAGCACGAUAGGACACAAUCCUCCAUACUCUUAAAAACACGAUAAAUUUUUGACUUCCAAAAAUUUAUAUGUUGAAAAUUACAAAAAAGGAUGCCCAAUUAUUUAGUCCAACGAAAAACCGAAACCCAACACGGUAAGGCACGAUUCCUCGAAUUUCCAAACAUUGACCAUUGCCUUGUUUUAGAAUCUUAAAAAAACGAGUGAAAUUCUAAAGGAGUAUUCGAUUAUUUUGAACAAAUAGGAAAUUGCAACCCAGCAUGAUAGGGCACGAUUCCCCGAAUUGCCAAAUAUCGAACAUUUCUUUCAUUUUAAAGAAUUUUUUAAAUGAAUAAUUAUAAAACUAGCUUAAAACGCAUUAAUUCGGCUUGAAAUAGGAAUGGAAUAAUUAGUUUUAAAAAGUUAGACAUUAUAAGGCGACAUUUGUAAACCAAGAGGAAAAAAAUUGAAAACAUAGGGUAACAUGUAUGCAUAAAAUACGACAAUGGAUGAAUGAAGAUAAUAUGUCUUAUUUAAUCAACUAACAAAACAAUUAAAUAUGAUUAAUCUAAAAAUAUAACCCAAAUUUCAAGCAUGUACGGAGAAUAAUUAAUAUAACAAUACAAAACAAUGAAUAAAUAAUAUGCAACGACGAUGUAUGGCACCAUAUAAAUCAAUCAACAAAACAUGUACAAAACAAAAUGGAAUUUAGAAGUCAAUGUGGUAUAAGAAAUUUUCCAAAAUAAUGAUGAAUUAAUUAACGCAUAAUAUAAAAGUUGACAAAUUUGCAUAAAAACUAGGGAUAUAUAAUUAUUGAAAUAGAUAUUAUAGAAUAAAAGUUUGAAUCAAAUUAUAUGCAAAAUAUUUUAAACACAAGUUCAUUCAAAAAUUGACAAUGUACAUGAUAACUUAAAUAAUAUAUAAGAUAUGAAAGAAUAAUAAAAAUACACGAUAAGAUAUAAUACACAUAAUAGAUUUACAAAACAUGCAUAUAUAAAUAACUUUAAAAAUAAUUAUUUGCAAAAACAUGGAAAUACAUACAAGAUUAAAUUAAUUUGGUCAUACGUGUUCGAAUACAUAUAAAAACAUUUAAAUCAGAUACUACAUAAUAUACUAAAAUAAUAUUAUAUAAAGAAGAAUUUCCAAAUAAUAAUUUUAUAAACACAAAAAUGGAAUUCCCGAGUAACUUUACAUAUAUAAUUAAAUGAAUUUUAAAACAAUAGAUAUUUUAAAUAGAAAACCCGAUUACAAUAACAUAUGUGUUAAUAUAUAUAAAAAUAUUUAAAUAAAGAAAUUACAUAGAAAGCGUUAAAAUAGUUUAAAUGAAAAAAUUUAAAACGAUGAUUUUAUAAAACAAAAUAAAACUAUUAAGAUGGCACAACACAUAUGCAAAGACGUGGUGAACUUCGAAAUAAUAAGCAUUACUAAUCAAUGAGCAUAAUAAAUGUACAAAUUUGUAUAAAAUAUUUAAAGAAGUAUUGUGUAAAAUGUAGAAAUAACAUGAUAAAAAAAAACUUCAAAAUAAUUGUACAAAUAAAAAUGGACAAAAUCAUUAAAAUGGAUUGACACAUAUGAAAAUAUUAAAUGUGUUUUAAAUUAGUAAGUUAAAAAAAAACUAAAUUAAAAUGGAGUUAAAAUAAGAGGGACAAUUUAAAAAUAAAAUAAACUACUAGGAUUAAAAAAAGGACCCUUGCACAAUACGCGUACAUUCGCAGAGGCUAAUGAUGAAAAUUUCCCCGACCCAAGAUGUUGUGUUCAAUCGAGGGUUACAUUGCAACAGCACACAAACUUUGGGAGAAAUUAAAAAAAAACUAAAGUAUUAAUUGGAAUUAAUUGCAUUGCAAUGGAAAAGUGGAGGACCUAACUUGAAAUUAUCCCUCUCCACUGAAACAAGCGGUUCCCAGGGGUUAAGAAAACAAAAUCGGGUUGGGCAAGCCAUUUCAAGGCUACAUACACAUGCCCCAAACGGCAUCACUUCAUGCUGCCAAUUUAAGCUUCUUAAAAGCCAAAUGUUUUGGCAGAACAAAUUGAAAAAGAAAAAAAACCUAAAGGUUUGCUCCUAUUUGGCCGCCACUCAACCUUCCUUCCAACACCACGAUGCCUUUAGAUCCCCUUUCGGCUUCGAUUUCAACGAAGCGAACAGAGAUCCAUGGCUGAUUCGCAAGGUAAGGCUUGCUUUUUCCCCUCCUUUGUUUUAAAAUGAAAAUGAUGAAAACAAUUUAUGGAAAAUAGAUAAAAAUGACAGAAAGAUUAAAAAGACUAAGAAAGAUCACCUCUUCAGAAAUUGUUUUUGAAUUUUUCUAUUCAUUUUUCGUAUAAUGUAUGUGUGUAUGCGUUUUUGUGUGCGUAAAAAAAAUACAAUGACAGUGUUCUUGGCUUUAUAACCGAAACCGAGUAAAAAACGAAAAAAGAAAAUACAAAUCGAUUGGUUCUGCCUCUUUGCUGUGCUGUUGUUUGUCUAUUUCUUCGCAGGUACGGAGGCCCGUUGGCGCGGUGGUACGUGGCGUUUGACGUGAGGCGUACGGGGGCUGUGUGCUGGGGGCUGUUGAAGCGCUGGAGGUUGUACGGCGCUGGAGGCUAAGGGCUGCGGCGCUAAGGAAACCCUAGGUUCCUGUUUGGCUAAACCUAGGUCUAGGUUUUGGGCCAUUGGGCCUUUUACAUUGGGUUAUUUGAUUGGGCUAGGUUGUUUUGUAAAUGGGCUUGUAACUGGGCUAUUGGGUCUGAUAUGUAAUGGACUGAUAAUUGGACUUUUUAUUAUUUGGUUUUAUUUAUUUAUUUAUUAUUUUGGCUUUGAUGUGGACCCAGGGAAAUUGGCCCGUUUACAAAACAUAUCAAAGUUUAUAUAAACAAAUUACUAACAUGUAAAAGUUUUAUAUAAAUUUAUAAUAUUUUUGAACUAGAAAUGAUAAUUGAUAAGUGUGUAAUUUUCUAAUUAUUCGUG